rnacentral:piRNA from 1 species
UGUGAGAAGGGAAAUCUGCCCCGUGC